UACAGAGGUCCCAAGCGUUGUUCGGAUUCACUGGGCGUAAAGGGUGCGUAGGUGGUGAGGUAAGUCGGAGGUGAAAGCUCCGAGCUCAACUCGGAAAUGGCAUUGGAAACUACCUUGCUAGAGGGUUUGAGGGGGGACUGGAAUACUUGGUGUAGCAGUGAAAUGCGUAGAUAUCGAGAGGAACACCAGUGGCGAAGGCGGCUCGCUGGAUCUUUUCUGACGCUGAGGCGCGAAAGCUAGGGGAGCAAACGGG
rnacentral:rRNA from 1 species